CCCUUAGAUGUCCGGGGCCGCACGCGCGCUACACUGACGGAGCCAGCGAGCUUUUCCUUAACCGAGAGGUUUGGGUAAUCUUGUGAAACUCCGUCGUGCUGGGGAUAGAGCAUUGUAAUUAUUGCUCUUCAACGAGGAAUUCCUAGUAAGCGCAAGUCAUCAGCUUGCGUUGAUUACGUCCCUGCCCUUUGUACACACCGCCCGUCGCUAGUACCGAUUGAAUGGCUUAGUGAGGCUUCAGGAUUUGCUUAGAUCGAGGGGCAACUCUCUUUCAGAGCGGAGAAUCUAGUCAAACUUGGUCAUUUAGAGGAACUAAAAGUCGUAACA
rnacentral:rRNA from 1 species